GGGUCAUUAGGUUGGUCGUGCCACCGGUACGUACUGGUCUCACUGAUUCCUCCUUCCUGAAGAACCGUAAUGCCAUUAAUUUGGUGUUGCGGGGAAACAGGACUGUUACUUUGAAAAAAUUAGAGUGUUUAAAGCAAGCUAACGCUUGAAUACAUUAGCAUAGAAUAAUGAAAUAGGACGAUCGAUCCUAUUUUGUUGGUUUCUAGGAUUGACGUA
rnacentral:rRNA from 1 species